GACGAACGCUGGCGGCGUGCUUAACACAUGCAAGUCGAACGAUGAAGAAGAGAAACGCGAACUUCGGUUCAAAUUUCACUUCGGAUUAGUGGCAGACGGGUGAGUAACGCGUGAGCAACCUACCUCUUACAAAGGGAUAGCCUCGGGAAACCGUGAUUAAUACCAUAUGACACAUUCAUAAGGCAUCUUAAGAAUGUUAAAGCUACGGCGGUAAGAGAUGGGCUCGCGUCCCAUUAGCUAGUUGGUGAGGUAACGGCCCACCAAGGCGACGAUGGGUAACCGGCCUGAGAGGGGGAACGGUCACAUUGGAACGGGGACACGGUCCAAACCCCUACGGGAGGCAGCAGUGGGGAAAAUGGCAAAAGGGGGGGAACUCUGAGGCAGCGACGCCGGGUGAGGGAUGAAGGAAUUCGUUUCGUAAAGCUCUGUUCAAGGGGAAGAAAAGGACUGUACCAAAGGAAAAAGCCCCGGCUAAAUACGG
rnacentral:rRNA from 1 species